CCUACGGGUGACAGCAGUGAGGAAUAUUGGUCAAUGGGCGAGAGCCUGAACCAGCCAAGUCGCGUGAGGGAUGAAGGUUCUAUGGAUUGUAAACUUCUUUUAUAAGGGAAUAAAGUGAGGGACGUGUUCUAUUUUGUAUGUACCAUAUGAAUAAGGAUCGGCUAACUCCGUGCCAGCAGCCGCGGUAAUACGGAGGAUGCGAGCGUUAUCCGGAUUUAUUGGGUUUAAAGGGAGCGUAGGCCGGCAAUUAAGUCAGCUGUGAAAGUUCGCGGCUCAACCAUGGAAUUGCAGUUGAAACUGGUUGCCUUGAGUACACACAGGGAAGCCGGAAUUCAUGGUGUAGCGGUGAAAUGCUUAGAUAUCACGAAGAACUCCGAUCGCGAAGGCAAGUGACC
rnacentral:rRNA from 1 species